AGCACCACAUGGGAGUUGCACAGCGCCAGGCGGAAGCUCUGGUGCCGUGAUGCCACUCCUUCUCUGUCUGAAAUAGAAGUAUGGAACAAGCUGACCUGGGAGUAGAGAAAUCACACGAGAACUCCCAGUCAGCCCGCAGGAGGCCAUGAGCCAACUCUAAGAGGCUGAGGACCAUGAGUGUUGGUUCACACCUUCUCUCCGUGCCUCACACAGUACCUGCUCCGUAAAGAACAUGCAGUGCAUUGCCUGAGGAUGCUACACUUUGCUGUAAGAUAGAUUCUGUGUUGGGUGAUUUGGCCAACAGCUGGCUAGCAGGAGCAUUGUGAACACUUUGAUGGCAGACUGUGGAAAGCGGUGACCUUUGGUAUGUUGGUGCCUUACUGCAUUUUUUUACUUAGUGUCUUUCCAGCUCACCAUUGGUCUGUCAGGAUGUUGCUGUAUUUUGAGUCCAGGAGGAAUGAGCCAUCUCCCAGGCUCAGGGAGGGUUCAUGAGAUGUGGGUAGCAGGAGGAAUACAGUUUUUUAAAAAAUUUGUUUA